rnacentral:tRNA from 2 species
GUGACUAUAGCUUAGUUGGUUAAAGCGCCAGGUUGUGGCCCUGGAGACCGCCGGUUCGAAUCCGGCUAGCCACCCCA